UUUCUACCAAUAGGCAUUCGUAUUUUUAUGAUUUUAUUCGAUGUAUAUAUCAGAAAUAACCAAUCAAACAACCGCAUUUCUUAUUGAGGGCUUCUCCCCAGCAACGUAUAGUACUCUAGGGAGCUGAGAAGAUGGCAGUAGGAACGGCAUAGAAGGAAGGGAAGCGAUUUUAUUCGAUCUUAUUUUCGGCCAAUAAACGUUCCCAUUUUUAUGAUCAUAUUCGAUCUAUCAGAAAUAUCCAAUCAGAUUUCUCGUUUUUUAUAAAGGAAUCUCUGAGCAACACAUAAUAUGUACAGGUUAUUUGAUCAAAAAUUUUCAAUCAGAAAACGAAUACGUUUCGAUUAUAACCUAUAAUAUUCGAUGUGAAUCGAUUUGAAUGAUCAAAUAUACAUUGAAUCCAACUUAAUACGGAGUGUCUUGUAUUGAAUGACUAUCAAAAAAUAUCGAAAGACAGUGGAAGGAUGACAGAAACUUACUGUGUACGUCGAUAGUGUGGUGAUAGUAAUGGCAGAGAAUAUAACGUCGAGAUUGAGGAGGUCGGCGCCGAAUAGGAGAAGGGAAAGGGUGAAGCGGAAAAGGGAGAGAAAGGAUUGGCACGGGUAAGAGGGGUCGGAUAGGGAGGAAAGGACGCGUAGAGGUCAGGGGGAGCAAAGAGGAGUAUCAGGUGGUGGGUGGUGAGAGAAGUAGCGAGAGUAGCGAGGAAGCGAGGGAUGGUUGGCGAGGAAAAUUGCAAGGCGGUACCGAUAAACUUACUCGCGCGUACUGACGCAAUGCGGUCUUUGGUUAGUGGUAAUAGCGAUUGUUAAUUACCGUGGAAAUACAACCAUCGAGAGACGACUUUGUCGUCGAGAUGAAUGGGAUGGGAGAAAAAAAACUCGCUUAUUAUUCCAACUAAUCAUUGAUCCAUUUGUUCUCUCUUUCAUCGAGAAUCACAGCAUACAUAUGGUCGCCGUUUCACGUUUCGUUGAAAGAGGACUCGGACAACAAUUUCUUGACCACCUCUUUGAUACUCGUUUAACUUUUAUUAUGUCUUCGAACGUGUGCGAGUUAUCUUGUGUCUUCUCUUACACAAUGGCACAAUAGUUAUUACAGAUAGAAAAACUGUCUCGUAAUUGCAACAUGACAACCACUUCUUUCGAUUCUUUUUCCUCUUCGCUUCCUCAUUUCUAUCGUUUGUUCGUGGUAGGUCAUUAUAAUUGCGAUAUAACUGCAUUGUUAAGAGAGAACGAUUCAAUUUAUUUAUUCACCAAGAGAUUUGUGCAAAUAGAAAAAUAAUAUUAUGUAAAGAGGAUAAAAAAUAAUUGAUUAAAUAAGAAAGCGAAGAAAUUUGAGAAAAACCGUUUUUCGAAAGUUUAUCCAAAGAGAAAUUUUUUUAACGGUAGAACAAAGACCAUUUUCCUUCCCCUUUCCCCAAUCUCUCCUCUUCACUUUUCUCUUCCUUCCUUAUUCGGUUUUUCAACGUUACGGCACAAAGUAUAGCAGCAGUUCGUCAUCAUCAGAUUCGUUAACGUUUGAUUCAUAAUUCAAGAUCAUAAUUGUUUGAAAGUUGCUGGAAUAAAAAUCACGAAUAUUCUCUUUUCUUUUUUUUCUUUCUCCCUUUCUCGUCGAAGAAUCAUUCCAAUGUCGUUGGUACAACUUUAUAAAUUUCAGAUUGUUCUCUUUUACCAAUGAAUUGUAAAUUUUAUGCUAUCGCGACAAAUUUGUAUCUCGUGUUAUCUUAUUUUAUUACUUUCCAUAAUAGUAAAUUUUCAUCGACCGUUUUUAUCUUCGCCACAGAGCUUCAAAUUUCGCUUGUAAAAUAAUCUUGUCUACUUUCUGCGGUUCAAAGAACGCCAAGCUGGUUUAGAUAUUCGAUAUUCCUUCCUUUUUUCAUGACUUAUACGACUAAUAUUAUGCACCUGCUUAUAGAUUCUGUUUUAGUUGAUUUCUCUAUAUAUUUGAGAUGUGAAAAAAUAUAAAGAUAAUCGUAUCACUUGGCAUAAAGCGUGCAUGUAUCUUAUUUAUAUAAAUUGAUAUAAAUUCAAUGAAAAAUGUUAGACCGAACUAUCUAAACAACUUUCACGGAUAACCAUUCUAGUGACCACGAUUAUCCACAAUCGUGUUUGAGAUCAAUAUUCCUGAAUUCGAACGUAUUUACACUAUUGUUCAUAAGUAUAUAAAACAUUCUUUGGUUGAUUUGUUAUAACAAUAAAUUUUGAAAUUUAAAUUUUAAUCAAAUAUAUAUAUAUAUAUAUAUAUAUUGAAUAUAUAAUGAAUUAAUAAGUAAUGAAUAAAAUUAAUAUUAAUUAUUAUUUAUUUAUAGUAUUUAUUCUCCUUCUCCUGAUAGACUGGAAAUUUAAAUGAUCUAUUAAAAUACUUCUCAUUAACGUAUUACUUGUAUAAAUUUAUUUUUUUUUUUGUAAAAUUAUUUUCUUUGUUAUAUCCUCUUUUAUUACAUAAUAUCAGAUAUAUUUAAUUACUUUUAAAAUAAUAAUAUUAUAAUUAAAAUAAUAUAUUGAUAGUUAAAAAAUUGUUUUCCAAAUAAUUUUAGUUUUGUUUAUUUAAUCUUCAAUUAUAGACGUCAUAUGACUAUAUUUUUAAGUAUACAUGCUUUUGGAUGUCACAAUGUUCUUGUAUUCCUAUUAAUUAAAUAUCGUUACAUUAAAAUUGAAUGAAAUUCUUUUAAUUGGAACACAAAGAGUGCAAAAGCAAUUCGAUAACUCGAAUCUACUCAUUAGCAGAGCUACGAGAAAGCAAUAGAGAAAAUUUUCUAAUCAGCUUUCGACCGAUGAAAUUGUCUUCGCAAACAGUAAAAUUACUCAAAGCUGAACGAGAUAUUAGGUAAACGUCGUGUCGCGUCGCUUUUUCCCCUUUUCCUCUUUUUUCCUCUUCUCUUUCAAUUGCUAGAAAUUCCAUGGAAAAAGUACCUCAAUUUACGAAGAGAGCUCGUUCCUGGAUUACCUUCCAAUUAGAAUUGUUUACAUACUAGGUGACAAUCAUUUCCUUUCCCAACAAUGAAAAAUUCAACUUGAUUGAUGUAAAUUCUCUUUCGUGUCAUUAACUUUUCUGAUUAAUGUUCUGCUUCAUUGUUUAAUCGUACAUUUUAUAUUUGAAUGGACACAACCGGAGAAAAAUUAUUUUGCCCUUUGAGUUCGUAUUCGAGAAGGAUACAAAUUAGUUGAACAAGAAGUUAUUAUUCUGAUUCUGACAGAUAUUCUCAUGCCCCUUGAACCGUUCGAAUUAAUGAGAUAGUCGAGAAUUCCGAUUCCAGAACCUUUCAGUUAUUUUCGAUUAACUUUGGUAAGAUUGCCCUUGGAGAUUUUCUUUUCUUAUCGGUCAAUCAGAUGGAAAAAAACCGAUCGAUUUGGCCAUAUUCGUUCGACUUAUCGAGAUGUAUUAGUCGAAAAUAAACGAAGAAAAAAGAAAGCACAGUAAAAAAGUAUAUUUUGAAUGAAAUUUUCAUUCGAAGUAACAAUCUUUGAAAUUACCCGAAGAAACGUAUGAUGAAAAGUCAAAAAAAGGGAAGAAGAGAUAAGUAGUGUGAUUAUCAGCGAGUUUCCUGCUUCCAACACAUCUUUCAUCUACUUCUUAGAGAAAGGAUAACGCGGUCUAAAUGAACCCGUACAGAAUCUAUAUUUAUGUAUCUAUGUAUCUUCGCCUUUGGUGAAAGCAAAGGAAAAGGAAGCAGAUGACGAAAAGGGAGGGGCUAUUGUUCGCAAAAACAUUGUUUCAUUUAAUUCAACGAAUCGAUGAGUAUCGAACGGCGCAGCCGUUUUCGGAUAUGGGUCAGUGGUCGAUACGCGUGUCCUGCGUCGCGCACCUAUCUACAUGUAUACGUAUAUAGUACAGCCAUAGAAUAUAUAGGAUAUAGAAGCGAACGUGGCAAUGCGCGCAAUAAUCGUAAAUGCGCAUGUACGUAUAUAUAUACAUACUUGUGACAUUGAUGAUCGGUUGGUAAGUUAUGUUACCUAAUUAUAUGUAUAUAUAUGUACAUUUAUAAAUUAUGCGUCACAAAGGAAACAAAGUACACGCGAUCACGAUUGUGUUAUAAUUAACGAUAAAAUUAUUUUUUAUCAUUCGAAUCGGAGAUGUGUUGCUUUACACGUAUCGUAACCGUAGAGAAACAUUUAAGAGACACAAGACCCAUUUAUCAAAGUGAACUCGAUACAAUUUUGUCACGAAUACCAGCACGAGUUUAAGUACCGAUACACUCCAUUUGAAAACUAAACUAAUAGAGUAGAACGAUAGCAGGUUCAUCGACCUAAAUCGCCAUAUCGAUCGAUUAAAAGGAUGCGCGAUGGAUGUGCGGUUCUUCGCGAGUAUAUCGGUAUGGGUGGGGUAUGGGUGUGUCGGUCAUACCUUGGUUUAUUACUAAUCGUUAGCCCGUUACAUCAGUGUCUGCAAUUACCAUUUGAUUUAGCAUAUUGUCUCGGGAGAGAACUAUAGCUCAUAAUCGCGUUGUGAAUAUAUAACAUGCAACGUAUACGGUAUAAAUUUAUGAGUUAAAUCAUAGUUCGCGAUAAAGUCUAUUGCAACUCAAUCAUGAAGUUCUUUUUCUUUUAUUCUGCGCAAGUCGACAAAAAGAAACGAAAAAUAACGAUUCGAUCGAAAUCGUAAAUUGAAAAUUGUUCGCACUAAAAGAAAUAUUCAUAGAUUAAUUUUUAAUCUGUAUUUUGUUACAUGAUAUAGCUUAUUUUUAACGGCUUUCUGAUUUAUAUAGUGAAUAAAUGCUUUAAAAAUAUAUUGAUAUAAGAUAGUUCAAAAAAAUUGUAAAUCUACGAAAUGUAUUCCGGCGAAUCUUACGAUGAUACAAAUAUUUUUUAAAUUUACAAAAUUAUGAAAAGAAGAUACAGAUUUCAUUCUAAAAUAAAACGAAGGCUAUAUCGUGUUAGCUAUAUAUAACAUAUUAUAUGAUAGCAUAGUGAAUCUUAAAAUUAUCUUUAAAAAAAAUAAUUAAAGUAAUUAUAUGUUUAUCUAAAUGAUCUUCAUAUAAAUUUAGACCGAGAUCAAUAUUUCUCGAGCGAAAUAAUUUUCGAUUAAUUCAUCUGAUGUAAUAAGAUCGCAACCCUUCCGGCAUCCACUUUAACGCGCUGGCUAAUGACUUAAUCACAUCCAAACCUAACUUUGAAACUUUCCAUCGAAUUAUUCGGUGGCUAGACCUCGAGGAUUACAAGUAUAACCUAACUUUUACAUAUUUCCACGUCUUUAAAACGUAUUUCAUGUUUCUAAAUCGCUAACUAUCCGAAUACAUGAAAUAUUGAAACGUACACCAAUCUAUUUAAUUUCAAAGCGAUUAAUUUCAAAGACGAAGUAUCAGGGAACGUCAUAGGUUAGCUACUCUUGGGAGAGUCCUUGUCGUCUACACCUAAUUACGUAAUACCGAAGCUACUGGGAAGGAUAUACGAGUUCCGAGGAUGGACGUAACAUUAACUGCGAAGCUUCCAAGAUAAUGCAAUUGCUAACGUCUGACAGGAUUUUCAGUGCUGUCAAUUAUCGAAUAAAGUGACAUCGGGUCUACGUAAGUACCUUCGUGUACUUCCAGAGGGCGUUGAACUCGCUCAAUAUACGAUACCUUUCCUGUGGCAACGUAUUGCAUUAAAACGUUGGCGAUAUACAUAAAUCCUUUCGACUUGAAAAUGAAAUUCAAUAUGACCAGGUAAAGAAUACAAGAUCUUUAACAUCGGGACAUGAUAUCGCAGUCUGUGUUCUCAAACGAUUCGAUUAAAUUGUGCAAUUACCGAUUGUUACCUAUUAUAAUGAGAAGAAAACAAAUGCAUAAUAUCAAUAGCGAAAUAUUUUUUUCUUUCUUACAAGAAUACAUUCCUUCCAGCCGACGGAUUCAGAAUCAAAGACUACCUAUCCUUUCUACCUCUCCCUCUUCUCUUUCACAUCCGUCCCUUCCUGUUUGCUUCUUUUUCCAUCUUUCUCUUCUUCUGUCUCUCUAUUUAUCCGAGCUAGAGAAUACCUUGCGAAUCAAUAAGUGGUAGACCCGAUUUACAAGACCGACUAGUAACCGACCGAGUAUGAAAGGCUUAACAAGCGGAAACGGACGGUGCGUAUCCAUCUCGGUCAUAGAUUCUACGCAAUAUCGGUAGAAACUCGACUAGAAAAGUUAUUCACCCCGAAUCGAUCCGGUCGAUUGUCGAGCUGAUGAAAGCUGCCCUAUAACUAGUUAAUUGGUCUGCUACCGAUACAGCUACUCUCCUUCACUCUGUUCCUCAUACCCAUUGCUCAAUCCCGCUUCUAUUCUCAUUUUCGCUUCUUUUCCAUCAUCAACAGCAGUAGCAGCAAUAACUGAUAAUUAAUCCGCCUGGUUGCGCCGCCUAUCAAUCGAAUUAUGAAGAGGGAAGGGGAAGACAUUCUCGACUCUACCACGAUCUUUUCAUCUUUUUCGAUCCUUUUUCCUCUUUUUCUUUUUCUUUUUAGACUCGAGAUCGAAUCGAAGUAUUAAAAUAAAAAUAAACUAGAUGAAUAGAGGGAACGAAAACGUAAACGAUCCGGGAUAAAUUUGGAUGAUUUUUUAACGUGACAGAUUCGCUUCUCAAUCAAUCAUAAUUAGAACCACGACGAAGCAUCGAAUCGAGUCUGAUCAAAGAUGCCCGAACUCGAAGACAAGAACCUUCUGUCUUAUUCAUCGAGAUUGAAAGAUUGGAGUUCAAAUUAAGAAAAGAUGGAAGGCAAAAAAUUCGAGAGAGAAAAAAAAUUACAUCUGUGUGAAAAUGUAGCGAAUAUGAAGAAUGCAAUAAUCAAUAGCCUUGCAAAGAAUAAAGUCCCUUGAUAUCGUCGCCCUAUAUCCGAUGGUAAUCCAGUGGAGGCUGUCACGCGAAAACACGUUUUGCAUGCAAAAUCGACGGACCAAAUAACCGAGAGAAGUAUUUCAAAUUCCCUGACCAAGAGCCGUCUCUGUCGAGAAUCGAUAUCUGCCUCCAAUCGAGAGAAGCGAUCGUUUUCGAAGGAACUGAUUCGACCUUUCGUUGAAACGUAUAGAUUGUAUAAUAUCACAGCAUGUACAUGUAUAUAUAAAUCGAUCUUAUCAGCAUGAAAAUGGGAUCGUAACAGCACCGUUUCGCCUAGCUCCGUAUUUUCGAAGAUAUAUAUAUAUAUAUAUCAAAGGUGUCAAAGAUAUUUCUUGGUUCGAAUACCGGGAGAUCGAAUUUAGAUUCCAUUUCUCUGAUUUUGUGCACACGUCAAUCAAUUAUUUAAUUUAUCCUUCUAACAAAAUUAUACAUAUAUAUAUAUAUCCAUCGAUUAAUAAGUCAAGAUGUACUCGUGUUGUAUCAUGCUUCCUGUAAUCAACCGCCGUGAAGAAUUAAUUUUCGUGCGAAAAAUUUUACGAUGUUUUAAUAACACAUACAUAAAUAGAUUUUGUGUAAUUACAAACGUUGCAUAAUCAUAGCGCGCAACAUAUGUACUACACGAAAGAGAAAAUUAAAUUUUAUGCACGUUUAUACAUGCGUAUCUUGCGCGCAGUAUUACAGCCAUUUGAUAUUAUUCAUUGUCAUUUUACGAACACGUUUGUCCUACUUUAGCAGUCGUAUAAAGCUACAUAUUCAAUGACCAUUGUCCCUGUCACGAAUAUGAUAAAACAGUAAGAAAAAUAUUCGCAUUGACGAAACUUCAAAUUUCUACGAUAUAUAUAUUAUAUAUACUUUCUAUUCACAAUUUAGAGUAAUGGUAUAUAAUUUUCUCGCAGGUAAGAUAGGUGAAGCGCAACAUUAUGUAAGAGUACUAAUAGAGAAAGUACGAAAGCAAUCUAACAACAAAAUAAAUCUAAAUUAAGAAAGUAAAAAGAAGAAGUUGGCAUUGGUAGUGAUGUCAAAUGAAUGAGUCAAUGUAUGUAUGAAUCAAUAUAAAUGAGUAAAUUCUAAUUUUUAUAAUGUCACAACAGCAUCUAUUUGAUAAACGUUUAUGAUAUUCGAUUUUAUUCCGCCAACUUCUUAUACAUAUAUAUUCAAAAUUCAGAUUGGAGAGGGAAUAUCGUGUAGGCUUGUGUCGCCUUUUUAUUGCGUAGCUGUUUGAUGAUUGCCUACAACGCUAAAAUCGUCACUGACGUAAAGAAGGUGAAUGGAGAGAGGGAAAUAGAUAGCUGAAAAAAAUAAAUAAAUGACGAAGCGAAAUAGAUAUUAUAGAAGUCAUUUAAUACUUUGUUGAAAAUUCUUGCUUACUAAAAAAUUUACUAAAAAGAAGUAAAAAAGAAGUAACCGUGUCUGAAAAUAAAAGAGAAGACAGUGAGGAGUUGCAUGAAAUGCAGGACGCAACGUUCUCAUAUCUUUUAUUCGUUGCAUCGAGGUUGUUAGAGAAAGAGAAAGAGAAAAAGAGAGAGCAACAUCCGCGUUUCACCGUUUCGUUCAUCGAUGGCAUGUUGCUUACGGUUUUCUAGCUCCGUUUCAACUUAUUCGUUACAAGUAAUUAAUUCAUUGAACAUUAACAAGGAAUUAAUAACGAAUAGAAAAUCAUUAGAUUUAAAAAAUCACCAGAGCGAUAAGAUAUGUGCUCGCAAUUUUGAAAUCAUCUUACAUGUUUUGCAAAAUGAAACGAAAUAAACUUUCUCUCGGUUUGUAAGUUUCCCUCGAUUUACCCGUGGUAGCAGCAGAAGUGUAUACUCGAGACUAUUCAAAUGUAAGCAAAACUCGAUUCUAUGUAUGUAUAGGUUAUGUAGUAACUAUCGAAGAUUCCUGUAGACUGCGCGUUCAAACCGUACUUCGAUGCAUGUACAAUUGCAAACAAACAGCAUCUCUACUCACACGAAUUGCUUCAAGAGCCAUAAACGGAAGAGCUUAUUCGUUAAAUGUACGAACGUCUGGGCCAUUCAAUAAAUAUACACUGCGUAUCUUCGUUAAAAAUAUUUCGAUAUCUUUUUUCAUUAUUUUUUCAUCGUUAUUUGACUUCUAUUUUUCUUUCUUUUUUACUCUCAUUUUUUUUUCAUUUCAUUCGUGAUCAUCAACGUGAUCAUUAAUGAAUCUUGAUAAUUUCGAUAAUUCAUAUUUUUUUUAUCGUAUUUAUUAUAUUUUAACGCAAUUGUUUAGAACGUUAAUUUAUAAAAAUUUAAACAAUAUUUUUAUAAUUUUUAAUAAAAUCUUUAUUAAAAGAA